UAGGGAAUCUUCGGCAAUGGACGAAAGUCUGACCGAGCAACGCCGCGUGAGUGAAGAAGGUUUUCGGAUCGUAAAACUCUGUUGUUAGAGAAGAACAAGGACGUUAGUAACUGAACGUCCCCUGACGGUAUCUAACCAGAAAGCCACGUCUAACUACGUGCCAGCAGCCGCGGUAAGACGUAGGUGGCAAGCGUUGUCCGGAUUUAUUGGGCGUAAAGCGAGCGCAGGCGGUUUCUUAAGUCUGAUGUGAAAGCCCCCGGCUCAACCGGGGAGGGUCAUUGGAAACUGGGAGACUUGAGUGCAGAAGAGGAGAGUGGAAUUCCAUGUGUAGCGGUGAAAUGCGUAGAUAUAUGGAGGAACACCAGUGGCGAAGGCGGCUCUCUGGUCUGUAACUGACGCUGAGGCUCGAAAGCGUGGGGAGCAAACAGG
rnacentral:rRNA from 1 species